rnacentral:rRNA from 1 species
GAUGAACGCUGGCGGCGUGCCUAAUACAUGCAAGUCGAGCGAACGGACGAGAAGCUUGCUUCUCUGAUGUUAGCGGCGGACGGGUGAGUAACACGUGGAUAACCUACCUAUAAGACUGGGAUAACUUCGGGAAACCGUAGCUAAUACCGGAUAAUAUUUUGAACCGCAUGGUUCAAAAGUGAAAGGCGGUCUUGCUGUCACUUAUAGAUGGAUCCGCGCUGCAUUAGCUAGUUGGUAAGGUAACGGCUUAUCAAGGCAACGAUGCAUAGCCGACCUGAGAGGGUGAUCGGCCACACUGGAACUGAGACACGGUCCAGACUCCUACGGGAGGCAGCAGUAGGGAAUCUUCCGCAAUGGGCGAAAGCCUGACGGAGCAACGCCGCGUGAGUGAUGAAGGUCUUCGGAUCGUAAAACUCUGUUAUUAGGGAAGAACAUAUGUGUAAGUAACUGUGCACAUCUUGACGGUACCUAAUCAGAAAGCCACGGCUAACUACGUG